UGUAAAGACGGAGCUAAGGUUACCUGUAAUGUCGUCAGUUAACAUGGAUCAAAAUUAAUACAGAAGGGCCUCUAUUUCGGAAAAACCUCUGGAACUGGCAAAAUUGUCUCUUAAAACUGAAAGGUGCUCCUUCACCAAAGAUCGUUAACACACUGUUAGAAAUAAUCUUUUUCGGUCGGAAAUAAGCGGUGUCAAGCAAUUACAAAAACUUCUUAGCGGUAUACCCAGAAAGGUGGUGUCAUAAAUGAAGAAAUCCUGAUUGAAGAUGACUCAGAGAGACUCCAGCGCUGGUACACAAAGAGAGCACGUCAGUGAACUGGAGAACCUUAAAAGUUCAAUUUAGGUCAUGGGUAAGUUAGAGUUGAAGUCCUUGUUUAUCUCAAUGAGAGCCACAUCUGCUUGGGUGUGACGAUUGAUGUUUUUUGCCCGGUCAUUGAUGGCCGAGGGAAAGUUGGGUUUGACAGGAUAAGUUUUGCUAAAGGCCGUGCUGAGAUCAUACGCAGGUAUAACGAUUCGGAAAAGCCGGGUUUGGUUUGGCGAAAAUGAUGCAGCGUUACACUGCGUUCUAUAAGCUUGCUGCACAUGCAGAAAAGCAGGAGAAACAGGACAAUAGUCAGGACGAGCUGAUUUACCAUUCUUUCUUCAUGUAUGACACUCCGUGUUGUCUUCGAUUGAUCUGGUACUCUGCCUGGGUCAUCUGACAAAAGGCGCGAUACUCAACGAUAGUUUUAGAACCGAACGUCGAUGGUUCAUCGGAACCGCUUGCUUGAAAGAUCAUAGAAGUUGUUUGAAUACCCUUUGGACAGAGACUCUGGGGUCAGAAAUGGAGUUGUGAAAAUUACGCGAGUGUUUGAGUAGUAUAGGGGCCUAACUAAAGAGAUCUCCUCUUGAAAUACACCUUUGUUUGACUUUUGGAUCGUCUGGCACCACGAGACUUAAAAAAAAAAAAAAAAUCGCACAGCAGGAGUACAAGUGCAUCACUCAAAUGAUGGAAUCUUGCACCGUUAUGGAUUUGCAAUCAAGAUGAAAUUUCCAAAAGAGAGCCAAAAUUUUUAAGAAACUAAGCCUGCCCUGCUAAUACAUCCUCGUUCUUGCGCCUACGGCAUGAUGCAUGGUAUGGAUCCGUUGACCAGCGUGAAGAGGCUAAACCUAUGCAUCAAAGGGACUCUUGUUUCGCUUGUUUGUGUCGAGGAGAAACAUGAAGACCCCUUUCUAAUCAGAAAAAAAAAUAUUCCUGUUGUUGACAUUAACUCAAAAGAUGUUUAAUAUAACUCAGACUUGGAACGCCCUAAGAGGUAGGUCUCCACAUUUGAUCAAUAGACUGUUUACAAAUAAGUAUAAGCAUGGCAGAAAGUUACAAAAAGACAUCUAUCGAUUGAUCCCUCAACAGUUCUUUGCGUACUAACGUAGUCAGCAGUAAUUCCUCCAAACAGUUACUACAGUGGAACUCCGAUAUAACGAUAUGCCAAGGGAGCGGUGGAAUUAGAUCGUUGUAUCGAGUUAUCGUUCUAUCGAGACGGGGUUCUGUCCUAUACAUUUUACUGUAACUUUUUCUGGGACAUAGCAUAUUUAUCGUUGUACCGGGGAUAUCGUUAUGUCGAGGAUCGUUGUAUCGGGUUCCACUGUAGCUACUGAGUGGUGAGUGUUACAAAAUAACAAUUUUAGUGCGUUUACGAUUAACUGGCGUAAUUUUUUUUUUUUUUUUAAUGAAAGCGCUGAUUACCAUUACUAAUGCAGUCUCUACACCUAGGACAGAGGAACAUUGUUAACGGGGAAUGUUUUGUAAUCGAUCCUGAAAUGAAAUAUGCUGGCAAGAUGUCAUUAUUGUUUGGAGAAACAAUUUUUUGUUACCAGCAUCAAGCAAUGUUUUCUCUUAAGUUUGAUUAAAGCGUUGAAGCGCGACUUUCUGUUGGAUUGUUUGCUAGCGGUGUCUUAAGUCACCUUUGAUGUCUGACGAGUAUUCUUGAGCUCGUCAUAAUGGACGAAAAUUUGCCCGCCAAACCGCGAAGAAAGAGCGCAAGAAUCGCUUCACAAGGCCAUAUGAACACAUCGGUGCUGAUAAAGCGGUGCAGGACUUGAGCCAGGGGAGAAUUUUGUUGAGCACCCUGUUUAGUAUGCUUCGGAAAGAAUAGCACGACGAACUACAGUCAUCAUGAAAUCAGUUUUCGGCGUACGGCGUCAGGAAAUCUGGUUUGUUCCUUUUAGCUCUAUGAGGCUGUGUUUGUAUCUCACAGAAUAGAGAACUGCGACGUAAUAACAAGGGCAGAAUCGCUGAAAUAAAACUUUCAACGUCGCCCUUUUUCAGUUUGUCAGUGCCAUGAAACCGCCUCUCUUCCCUUUUCGAUUUGCAAAACAUGUUUCCACAAACAAAGGCCUUUCUUAAAUUUCAUCAGAUAGGCAAGUACUUUAUUUUCGAAGAUCUUGUUAACGUGAAAAACAAAUCAUGCUUUAUUUCAUUGUUUUCUUAUCAGAAGAUGCCAAUGUUUAGACUAUCAAGCACUGUAACCCAGACUAGUGGGCAUGUACAAAAACGCGACCGAUUGAUUUCCUUCGUUUUACCAAAUGUUCAAGGGCAUCUUAAGUGUCUUCAUUAGAGCGUUAUCAGUCUUGGUGAGCAAAUAAGGAGAGCAUAAGAUGCAAGAUUGUUUUAAGUCUUUUCUUAAAAAGAUCAUGCCCUUGCAGCUAGUGUUAAAAAACAGUUACAAAAUAGGGUACAUUUGAAUCUACAUUAAGGUUCCAAAAAUCUCAAAAAUGCAGAAAAACAACUUUAAAUAUAUUCGUGUCUGUAAUGCCCUCAUAAUCUAACAAAGCCCGGAUUAGCUCAAUAACCAUUUUCCAUGCAACAACAAAGGGCAGAGCUGAGUUUCAGACGUUGGCUUUCGCAAUUUAGCCGGUUAGUUAAUUUUUAACUGAUAUAUUUAAGUGGACUCGGCAACUAUUCGGCGCGGGAAAUCGAAAAACACUCUUAAGAUUUUCCCAAAUAAGGCGACAGUGCGUGGGAGGCGAAUGGUCUGGAAUGUAGUUGCCCUGGUAACAUUGUCUUUCCGAAGUACAAUAAGGAUUCUAUUGAUCCUCGGACUAACAAUGAUUGCUUUCUUUUAUGGCAUCUGAGUUAUGUCAGUGAUGUUAUUAUAUACGUUAAACGGCCAAUCCACGUUUGUUUUGUAGCGGAUAAUUUCCGUUGUGGGAGGAAUGACUUGACACCAUUCGUUGUUCUUCUUGUGUAUAACGUAUUAUUGACGAGAAUGUAGACCGCUUCGAACGUGCGUUUCGACAGCGAACCCGACCACCGAACGGGAAAAUCAGUAAAGUAGCUGUAGAGUACCUUGACAUGUCUGAACUCAGGCACGACAAGUACUGUUUGCUUUCACCUCCGUGCGAAAUGUAAUUGCACUGCAACGUCUUUGAACGAGGAUUUUGUCGGCCAAAGCUGAACCCAGUAUCAACUCAUACAAGAUGAUUAUAGUCUCUCAGACGAUACUCAAGGCCGAAGGAGCUGCAGAUAGAUGGCUUUAUUAUCGACUGAUCGCCUUGGUAUUCCUGAAUCCGAUACAAAGAAAAAAACUGCGAGGAUUGGACAAUCCAGCAAAGACAAGACGGUGCACCGAGAGACCAGGUGGCAGCUGGAGUCCUGGAGGCUUUUGCUACCAAACGAACCCUCCUUUUAGCGAAAUAGCCUGCAUGUUUUCAGAAAGAGAGGACUUGACAUAUCCCCAACUGGCACAACACUGCAAAGAGACGCCCAAUUCACCGUGUCAUUCAACUCUGACAGGUGUCGGCAUGUUUCUGAUGAUAUCUUGAUCUAACAUAAUUCAGACUUUAACUCAUCUGAUACCAGGGAAAUUAAUUUAAGCUGAAAUAUAACAGAUAUAGAGAGUCGCCGCGCGACACACCUUCGGACACCCUAACCUUCUGCGCUUUCAAAAGAACCCCAAACGGAAAUAUGUCGUCGCAAUGGCAAAACGCGACAGCAUUGGAAACGAUUUGAGGACAAUUUUAGUUAAUUCAAGUUCAAAUGACUCUAUAACUAAGCAAAGGUUAAGGACGAAUUAUCUAAGCAAAAAAGUCUUUUGUCGUCUACUCGGACUGUAACAGCUGGAGUCAUUGUCUAGAAAUAAUCAUGUUCCAUAGUUGGUCUAAGACACAUCACUCAAUAACUCAGUCCGGUGCAGUUCAUAACGUAGCUAUUUCAAUACUGUUGUGCCAUUUUCCCACGCCAGUACAUGAUCAAGGUCACAGGUGCCACCGGUGAACCUGCCAAUAAUACUACUUGGACAAUGCCACUAAGUUCAUCAGAAGAUUUUGAAACAGCGGUGACACCUCUGCCAUAAACACCAAAUUAAUGAAGCACGUGGUUAGGUAUCUUCCUACUAAACGAAAAGGCACGUGAGAGAUAUUUGAUUAGCAAGGUCACGAGGUGAUACCUACAGCUCAUGCAAAGGCAUCUCCAGCAUACUGUAAUUGCUCGAAUAUGUACUUGGACAUUGGACACUUAUUUGGCUCAAAGGAGGGGAAGGGCGCUUAAUUUAAGGAGGGUGCUUUUCCUUCUCCUACACUGAUUCCUUUUAAGCUAGAGGUUAAACAAGUGUUAAGUGGCAAUGGAAACAGGUUUUUCCCUGUCCUUAUUAAUCAACAAAGUGAGCAAGAAGAGAUGGGCGGUUAUUCGAGAGAGGUGCCGACACUAUGGCCUAAGGCGUGAUUAUUAAUAUUUAAAAUUUGUAAAUAAUCGCAUAACUCAACUUUUGGUUGCAAAUCGAUUAUUAAUAAAAUAUCUAUCUAAUCAGUAAACUGUCGAUAAGCUGGCUUGCCAAAGUUGAAAAGGAACUGUUGUGGUUUUCCUGUAAUGUCCGAA
rnacentral:lncRNA from 1 species